UACGUAGGGCGCAAGCGUUUGUCCGGAAUUAUUGGGCGUAAAGAGCUCGUAGGCGGCUUGUCACGUCGGGUGUGAAAGCCCGGGGCUUAACCCCGGGUCUGCAUUCGAUACGGGCUAGCUAGAGUGUGGUAGGGGAGAUCGAAUUCCUGGUGUAGCGGUGAAAUGCGCAGAUAUCAGGAGGAACACCGGUGGCGAAGGCGGAUCUCUGGGCCAUUACUGACGCUGAGGAGCGAAAGUGUGGGGAGCGAACAGG
rnacentral:rRNA from 1 species